rnacentral:rRNA from 1 species
AUUGAACGCUGGCGGCAGGCUUAACACAUGCAAGUCGAACGAGUGGCGGACGGGUGAGUAAUGUCUGGGAAACUGCCCGGUGGCGGGGGAUAACUACUGGAAACGGUAGCUAAUACCGCAUACCAUCGGAUGUGCCCAGAUGGGAUUAGCUAGUUGGUGGGGUAACGGCUCACCUAGGCGACGAUCCCUAGCUGGUCUGAGAGGAUGACCAGCCACACUGGGACUGAGACACGGUCCAGACUCCUACGGGAGGCAGCAGUGGGGAAUAUUGCACAAUGGGCGAAAGCCUGAUGCAGCCAUGCCGCGUGUAUGAUGAAGGCCUUCGGGUUGUAAAGUACUUUCAGCGGAGAAGCGGUACCCGCAGAAGAAGCACCGGCUAACUACGUGCCAGCAGCCGCGGUAAUAC